rnacentral:rRNA from 1 species
UACGUAGGGGGCAAGCGUUGUCCGGCUUUAUUGGGCGUAAAGAGCGUGUAGGCGGUUUGGUAGGUCCGCUGUGAAAACUCGAGGCUCAACCUCGAGACGCCGGUGGAAACCAUCAGACUAGAGUCCGGAAGGGGAGAGUGGAAUUCCUGGUGUAGCGGUGAAAUGCGCAGAUAUCAGGAAGAACACCCGUGGCUAAGGCGGCUCUCUAGUACGGUACUGACGCUGAGACGCGAAAGCGUGGGGAGCGAACAGG